UACGUAGGGGGCAAGCGUUGUCCGGAAUCAUUGGGCGUAAAGAGCGUGUAGGCGGCCCGAUAAGUCCGCUGUGAAAGUCCAGGGCUCAACCCUGGAAUGCCGGUGGAUACUGUCGGGCUCGAAUCCGGAAGAGGCGAGUGGAAUUCCUGGUGUAGCGGUGAAAUGCGCAGAUAUCAGGAGGAACACCAAUUGCGAAGGCAGCUCGCUGGGACGUAACUGACGCUGAGACGCGAAAGCGUGGGGAGCAAACAGG
rnacentral:rRNA from 1 species